CAGUGCACCACUGAUAGGAGUGUGGAGUCAUGCAGAUGCUAUGGGAGACUGUGGCUGGCUGUUCCUCACAAAACUACAAGAGGAUUUACCCUAAGACAAAUCCAACUAUGGUGUUAUUCUGUCCUUAGCAUGACCAAAUGAUAUGGGAAAGCCAAGAGCAUAGACUCCCAGGAAGGUAAAUUUCAGAAGUCUACUGGAGAGGAGUUACAAAAGCCUGGAUGGGGCCUCUGCUGGUUUGUCAGGAGAAUUUCCACUCCAUUUCAAAGGGAGAGACAUAGUAGUGA